UGAUUACUAAAGGUUAUUAUAAUUAGUUAAUGUUAAUGUAUAUCCUAAAUGUAAGAUUGCAUCUAAACAAAUACUUAACUGAUGUUCAUAUAGAUACAUAACAUCUUAAGCGAAAGCAUAAGCAAUAUAUACACAAUACACGAUUACCAAAAUAUGAGUCUUAUUGGUGUUAGGUUUAGGUUAAGAUAUUAUAUCAUUACCUAUUUAUUGAGUUAAGAGAGACUUACAGAUGGUUCUAAGUUUAGAUUGAAGAAAGUAUUCGAGGUCCUUUGUGUUUUUUCACAAAGACCACCACUAUAUAUCUUUUUCUCCUCAUUAU
rnacentral:lncRNA from 1 species